UAGAUGGGGCCCACACAGACACAUCUCUUCUGUGUUUUUGAUGGGACAUGCUGAACUACUCUGUAGUAUGUCAAUGUGGCUAAAGUCAUAGACUGACAUAAAAUCAUUGCAAAGUAUCAACUGUUGAUAAAUAGCAGUUUCACUAAAGGUAAAGGGCAGGCAGUAGAGUUGGUUUCAUGAAUCAAAAAGCUGUCCUUACUGACUGGAGGUCGUUUCAACUCAUCUUCGGGAAAUAGGAGUAAACAAAUAAGAAAGAAUCAGCUGAGAACUUUUUGGGAUGGACAUAGAGGGGCUGUCUAAGAUUCCUCCACAAGGAUCUCUCAUACUCUCAGAACGUGUGCCCUCUUGAGGGUCUGAACCAUUCUUGUGUGAGUUGAAUGGCAGUGGUAGGAUGUUUCACAUCCGGGAGCCAACCUCCAGGCAUCUCCAGGCCAGCUACCUGAAGACAUUUGCCCCCUUCCAGGUCUGCCAGGAGGAUGGAGGCAGUGUUUGCGACUGCCGGAUGUGGUUCCCCAACAUUACCUCCCUCCAGAUGCACCUCAUCCACAACCCAUGCAGCCUCUACUACAGGUUCCUCCCUCGCCAGGGAGUCAACACACAACCGUCCACAGAGUCUGUAUUUUGCAGGAGGCACAGGGAGGAGGAUGAGAAUCCUCACCAAGUGGUGCAAGCAGGAGCUAUGGUCCUCCCAAAUAAAUAUUAUUUCCAGA